rnacentral:lncRNA from 1 species
UUUCAACAAUAAAUUGUUUGAAUUUUUUUUAAUGUUUUUAAAAGCUUAAAAUUAUAUGAUACUUUAUAAUUGAUCUAUUUAUUUUUAAUAGAAAUACAGGUCACAGAUACGGGUAUGAGUACUUACAUAUCCAUACGGUACAAAUAUGGAUGCUAACUUUGGCACCCAAUCGGGUAUGGGCUCGGGCACGAGAAUUUUUUAAAAUCGC